ensembl:lncRNA
AUGUAUCACCUGCAGCUACACGUCCAGCUGGAGGAGACAGAUUUCAUCUAUCAUCUUGAAAGACUCCAUUCCCUGUUGUUCUCUCACAUCAAAAUCCAGCGAUAUAUUUGUGUUGCGCAGAGAAGAAAGACAUGGAGAAGAAACCACAACCAAACUUCAUCAGUUCUCUCAUAUAUCGCCAACAUGCCAGCUCAAGACAGCAAAACACAAACCGAAGACGAGCUUCAAAAUGGAGGGACUGAAAAGAGGAAAGGACGAGUGCAGAGAAAACAAAGAAACGGAGGAAGAAGGGAAGAAAAAGCCAGAGAGAAGAAGGUGUGGAGCAGAAGUGUGGAAGUGUGUUGCUGGGCAAAGGGCUGGCGCUGAACGCGGGGUUGGCAGGCGGGGUGGAGAAGCGGGCACGCUCGCAGACAUCUGUUGGCACGCUGCGGAUGCUGGAGGGGGCACGCUGCCAUGACCAGCGGGAACAUGGCACACUGAUAAUGCUGUAGCUAUACUCAGAUACACACUGCGUCUCUAUAGAACGCCACACACACCAGCACUAAUGAUAAAAUAAUCUCACACUAUCGACACGAGCGACGCAGGACACACAGGUUGUGGAUCAAAAUAUCGUAAUUGGCAGCUUGCAGUUUUUAGUUUGGGCAAAAUACUUUUUUAUGAGAAUCUAAGAAAAAUUAUCCUGCAGAAUAAAAAGUGAAUUUAACCUCA